rnacentral:tRNA from 4 species
GGGCGGAUGUAGCCAAGUGGAUCAAGGCAGUGGAUUGUGAACCCACCCAUGCGCGA